rnacentral:lncRNA from 1 species
CUGAGCUAGAGAACACAGAGGCAUCAGAGGAACCUGCUGGCAACAUCACCGCUGCUUCUGCCCAGUCCAACCUGACUGAUGUGCCCAGUUACUCCAAGGGGCAAAACACAUCUUGUCCUGAUUCUUCUGGGGAAACUCAUGACAACUCCACCACAAUGGCGUCAACUCAACCAUGGCCUCCAUCAGGAACCACUCCAGACUCCAGUAGAAGUGAGCCCAGCAGUUCCUCUCCUCCAGUGACGUUGCAUCCCACCACCACUACAGCCCAGGCUCCUGUGACCAGUGAUGCUGUGAAGACAUCUGUGAGGAUCCAGGCCAUUCCUGAACUGGAGAAUACAACCCCGGCCCAUGGACACAGUACAGAAUCUGCAGGUUCCCACAACACCCCUGUUUUGGUUGCAGUCCCUGCUGUGAGCUUGCCCCAUCCUGACCAGACUCUGCAGACCACCAGCAGGCCUUCAGUGUCUACUUCUGGAAGUUUCAACCUUGUUUAUGGUGGAAACCCUGUUGAUGUGACCGUAAAUCAGAACCCAGCAGGUCUUCAUGACCUGUCAGCUGAGGUCCAGUUAUCUGAAACUAUGACUGUUUAUGACAACUCCUCCAACUCGAAGCAGGAAGUCCUCUUGGUUCCUGGUGGGGUGAACAUCUUGGACGUCAAAGGAUUGCCUCCCUCAGGAACCACUCCAGACUCCAGUAGAAGUGAGCCCAGCAGUGCCUCUCCUCCAGUGAGGUUGCAUCCCACCACCACUACAGCCCAGGCUCCUGUGACCAAUGAUGCUGUGAAGACAUCUGUGAGGAUCCAGGCCAUUCCUGAACUGGAGAAUACAACCCCGCACAAUGGAUACAGCACAAAAUCUGCAGGUUCCCACAACACCCCUGUUUUGGUUGCAGUCCCUGCUGUGAGCUUGCCCCAUCCUGACCAGACUCUGCAGACCACCAGCAGGCCUUCAGGGUCUACUUCUGGAAGUUUCAACCUGGUUUAUGGUGGAUACCCUGUUGAUGUGACCGUAAAUCAGAACCUGGCAGAUCUUCAUGACCCGUCCGCUGAGGUCCAGUUAUCUGUUAAGAGACCUGAAGAAACUAUGACUGUUUACGACAACUCCACCAACUCGGAGCAGGAAGUCCUCUUGGUUCCUGGUGGGGUGAACAUCUUGGACGUCAAAGGAGGGCCUCCCUCAGGAGCCACUCCAGACUCCAGUAGAAGUGAGUCCAGCAGUUCCUCUCCUCCAGUGACGUUGCAUCCAGCCACCACUACAGCCCAGGCUCCUGUGACCAGUGUGAGGAUCCAGGCCAUUCCUGAACUGGAGAACACACCAACUCCACCUCAUGGAUACAACACCCCUGUCUUGGUUGCUGUCCCUGCUGAGAUCUUUCCCCAGACUCUGCAGACCACCAGCUGGCCUUUAGUGUCUACUUCUGGAAUUUACAACCUGGUUUAUGGUGGCUACCCUGUU